rnacentral:rRNA from 1 species
GUGCUAUACAUGCAGUCGAGCGAACGGACGAGAAGCUUGCUUCUCUGAUGUUAGCGGCGGACGGGUGAGUAACACGUGGAUAACCUACCUAUAAGACUGGGAUAACUUCGGGAAACCGGAGCUAAUACCGGAUAAUAUUUUGAACCGCAUGGUUCAAAAGUGAAAGACGGUCUUGCUGUCACUUAUAGAUGGAUCCGCGCUGCAUUAGCUAGUUGGUAAGGUAACGGCUUACCAAGGCAACGAUGCAUAGCCGACCUGAGAGGGUGAUCGGCCACACUGGAACUGAGACAGGGUCCAGACUCCUACGGGAGGCAGCAGUAGGGAAUCUUCCGCAAUGGGCGAAAGCCUGACGGAGCAACGCCGCGUGAGUGAUGAAGGUCUUCGGAUCGUAAAACUCUGUUAUUAGGGAAGAACAUAUGUGUAAGUAACUGUGCACAUCUUGACGGUACCUAAUCAGAAAGCCACGGCUAACUACGUGCCAGCAGCCGCGGUAAUACGUAGGUGGCAAGCGUUAUCCGGAAUUAUUGGGCGUAAAGCGCGCGUAGGCGGUUUUUUAAGUCUGAUGUGAAAGCCCACGGCUCAACCGUGCAGGGUCAUUGGAAACUGGAAAACUUGAGUGCAGAAGAGGAAAGUGGAAUUCCAUGUGUAGCGGUGAAAUGCGCAGAGAUAUGGAGGAACACCAGUGGCGAAGGCGACUUUCUGGUCUGUAACUGACGCUGAUGUGCGAAAGCGUGGGGAUCAAACAGGAUUAGAUACCCUGGUAGUCCACGCCGUACACGAUGAGUGCUAAGUGUUAGG